CACAAAGUCAAUAUUGAGUUUUUUUCUUCGGUUGCGUAUGGAACGCAAUUAACGUUCUGUUUCAAAACGUUAGUCACUAGUUUUAUUUUGAAAGCGUACCCGGACGUUGCAUAAUUAUUGUUGCUAACUUCACCGCCGAGACGUCCAAAACCGACACUAAAGGGGUCUUAAGGCGUUAACCCAGGCCGUAAUAAAGCUGAGACCUAAGAAGCCUAACUGAGAAUUUUUUCAAUCUCAUUUGUAAUGUUCUGUAUGGCCUAGAUAGUCUUUACUUUACAGAGAAAAUACUUUUUUACUUCGACGCAUUUAUAUGGUUUUUCAUUUUUCAUCAAAUACAAUCAUUAAGCACAUCAUUGAUGAGCUGGUAGUGAUAGAUGAUCUGUCUCAGAGAAACGGUACCAGCCCUGUCACGAUUUGGCCAAUGGACCUGAAUCUGAUUCUGAUUCAAGUAAAGUGUCUGAGUACUUCUUACACCACUUAAGGUAUCCAGUAGUGGUGGAAACGAUUGCAGUGAUGAGGGGUGGAGAUGAGUUGUGACAACAAGGAACACCAACAAGUGCAAUGGGAUAUAAUAAGACAUGGCUAUUGACCCCUUCACCUCCAUAAAAGAAAGGAGAAAGAGAAGAUCAAAUAACAUGAGUGAAAUACACCCUUGACUGCUAGCUGUUCUUUUCUGGUUGAAUUUCUCUGUGUGGCUGCACGUGUGUAUUUGACUCCUUGCUGUGUGGUUAUUGAUGUUAUGGAGGCUAUAUGAUAUGCUGUGCUUUGUCUGUCCGGCCACUGCUGAUACUGCCUACCAUGGUUUUCAAUAAUUUGUAAUUUCCCAAAUUUUACAUUAUUGGUUACUCAGUCGUCUGCUGAUGGUCUGUGAUUUGUGAGUAGAGCCAGGUUUGCUAGUUGCUUGUACGAAUUUCUUCAUUUUUGUUUUGUUUUUAAGAUGUGUUGCAUUAUGAGUAAAAAGAAUGAUAAGUAGGUAACUACUGCAUUUGAAAGCUGUCUUGUGUAAUUUUAACUUUUGAAAUUUAUAACGCAUAAAUAUCCCACAAUAACAGAAAGCCCACCAAACAGUAUUCUCAAAGCCAUCAGCAUAUCUUAUAGCGUUUCUCUUUUCAAAAGAGCUUUUCUAAUGUCGCUGCCUUUACAAUUAAUCUCUAUUCUUUCCAUAUUUAAAACCAAUGUAUUAAAAUGUGUUUUAUGAAAUGUGUUGACACUGCAGUGGGGCUAUAACCCUUCUACUGAUACAUCAAG